GGACUACUGGGGUUUCUAAUCCUGUUUGCUCCCCACGCUGUCGCGCAUCAGCGUCAGCUACUGCCCAGCAGGCCGCCUUCGCCACCGGUGUUCUUCCGGAUCUCUACGCAUUCCACCGCUACACCCGGAAUUCCACCUGCCUCUACAGUGCUCAAGCCCGAGAGUAUCGACGGCCGAUUCAGAGUUGAGCCCUGAACUUUCACCGUUGACUUCCCGCGCCGCCUACGCGCCCUUUACGCCCAGUGAUUCCGGACAACGCUCGCACCCUCCGUAUUACCGCGGCUGCUGGCAC
rnacentral:rRNA from 1 species